AUGGUGAGCUGGGAGGUGGACGGGGCGGAAGUCAAGGAUAGGGUCCUGACCACCACAGAAGAAGAUAAGGGCGGCCACUUCAGCCGCAGUAGCACCCUGACCCUGAGCAAGGCACGCUGGGAAGAUGGAGAGGUGUACACCUGCACGACGACGACACCAGUAACAGUUCCCAAACCCGUCCAGCCCCCCUCUAGUGAGGAGCUGUCCAGUAAGUCAACAGCCACGCUGACGUGUCUGGCCAACAAGGGCUUCCCCUCAGACUGGACCAUGAGCUGGAAAGUGGACGGGACCAGCAAGAAGCAGGAGGCCAGUCCCAGGGUCCAGGAGAAGGACGGCCUGUACAGCUGGAGCAGCACACUGACUCUCACUGCCCAGGAGUGGACCAAGGCAGGAGAGGUGACCUGUGAAUUCCAGCAGAAAUCCCAGACUCCAGUCACAAAGACCCUGAGGAGGGCUGACUGUUCUGGGUAG